rnacentral:rRNA from 1 species
CGGAUUGUAGGCUGAAACUCGCCUACAUGAAGCUGGAGUUGCUAGUAAUCGCGAAUCAGCAUGUCGCGGUGAAUACGUUCCCGGGCCUUGUACACACCGCCCGUCANACCAUGAGAGUUGGCAAUACCCAACGUACGUGAUCUAACCCGCAAGGGAGGAAGCGUCCUAAGGUAGGGUCAGCGAUUGGGGUGAAGUCGUAACAAGGUACC